rnacentral:rRNA from 1 species
GACGUAGGGCGCGAGCGUUGUCCGGAUUUAUUGGGCGUAAAGAGCUCGUAGGCGGCUUGUCGCGUCGACUGUGAAAACCCGCGGCUCAACUGCGGGCCUGCAGUCGAUACGGGCAGGCUAGAGUUCGGUAGGGGAGACUGGAAUUCCUGGUGUAGCGGUGAAAUGCGCAGAUAUCAGGAAGAACACCUAUGGCGAAGGCAGCUCUCUGGGACGGUACUGACGCUGAGACGCGAAAGCGUGGGGAGCGAACAGG